UACGUAGGGUGCAAGCGUUGUCCGGAAUUAUUGGGCGUAAAGAGCUCGUAGGCGGUCUGUCGCGUCGGCUGUGAAAACCCGGGGCGUCAACCCCCGGGCCUGCAGUCGUACGGGCAGACGUAGAGUGUGGUAGGGGAGACGUGGAAGUUCCUGGUGAGCGGUGGAAUGCGCAGGAGUAUCAGGAGGAACACCAAUGGCGAAGGCAGGGAUCUCCUGG
rnacentral:rRNA from 1 species